rnacentral:rRNA from 1 species
CUCGUAGGCGGCCAACUAAGUCAGACGUGAAAUCCCUCGGCUUAACCGGGGAACUGCGUCUGAUACUGGAUGGCUUGAGAUUGGGAGAGGGAUGCGGAAUUCCAGGUGUAGCGGUGAAAUGCGUAGAUAUCUGGAGGAACACCGGUGGCGAAGGCGGCAUCCUGGACCAACACUGACGCUGAGGAGCGAAAGCCAGGGGAGCAAACGGGAUUAGAUACCCCGGUAGUCCUGGCCCUAAACGAUGAAUGCUUGGUGUGACGGGUAUCGAUCCCUGUCGUGCCGAAGCUAACGCAUUAAGCAUUCCGCCUGGGGAGUACGGUCGCAAGGCUGAA